rnacentral:lncRNA from 1 species
ACUAAAAACUAAUCAGCACGAAUGAAUGUCAACAUAACAUAGUCUUCGGCUUUCGUUGUUGUCCUAUAUAAUGCUCAAUUUAACGGCAAAUAGUGAAAAAAAAUAUAUAUUGUUCACAUUUUACAAACCUCGCUCCCAAGAGGGCAGACAAGAAAAAAACAAUGUCUCCUGACUUGAGUUGUACCCAGUUCAUCCCAAGCGCUCAAGGCGUGAAACAGUGGUGUUAUUGUCCAGUUUUGGCCGAAAAAAGAAAAGAAAAAGAAAAAGAAAACACUUUGUGUUUUUGUUUUAGGUGGUGGAGGUGGCGGAGGAGGUCAGUAAAAGCGAUUUUAUCUUGUUAUCCCCUCUCUCGAGUUGGUUCUAGUAAUAUUGAUAACAAGAAUUAUUUAAGGCAACAGUCGAGCUAUUUUUGCUAAAGACUCAAGUAAAACGGCUUUCAGUAAAGCCAGGGAUUAAGGGGGCUUGAUUACUUGAACGAUUUCAAGUUUAACCCCUACAGACUAAGAGAGACAGUUACACUGAACAAGCAUCCCCUGUUACCCUCUUACGAUCCUGGGCAACGAGGUUAUUUACUUUCAUUGAGUAGCAGGUGGUAAUUGCACAAUCUUACUUUCUAGUAAUGUAUGGAAAGUGCUUGACUGUCUCCUGAUUCUUGCAUAAUCCCAAUCUAUUGUACUCCAACCAAUCUACCUUUACCCUUGAGUGACCUAGACAUGUGCUAAUAUAAUGUAACAACUAAGAGCACUUUUGGGCUUUUCUCGACCUAAAGCCGCCUGGCCUGAUUCGUUUUGCGCACUAGGUCUACGUUUACAUGCUUUCAGUGCUGACUGUUUUAUCCAUGCUUUUAGGUUGUAUAGACAAACACCCAAAUUGUCGGCAAUGGACGAGGUAUUGCAGCUGGCAUCCAUUUGUCCAGGCAAACUGCCGGAAAACAUGCCGCCGCUGCUAAUUUAAAAUGUUGAAGCGGAAAAUGAACAAGAAGAGGACUAGUGUAGUUGUUGUUGUAGUAAAUAAAGCAUUAUAAACGAA